rfam:Hordeum vulgare subsp. vulgare, WGS project CAJW01000000 data, contig: morex_contig_1559444
UUACUACUCCCUCCGUCUGGAAUUGCUUGUCACAAAAGUAGAUAAUAAUGGAGGUAUUUAGAAAUAAAAUACAUCUAGAUACAUUCAUUCGUCCGACAAGUAUUUUCGGACGGAGGGAGUAUUAU